rnacentral:rRNA from 1 species
CAGUCGCCGCGGGAAUACAGAGGAUGCAAGCGUUAUCCGGAAUGAUUGGGCGUGAAGCGUCUGUAGGUGGCUUUUCAAGUCCGCCGUCAAAUCCCAGGGCUCAACCUGGGAAUGGCAGUGGAUACUGGCAAGCUAGAGUGUGUCAGAGGAUGGUGGAAUUCCCGGUGUAGCGGUGAAAUGCGUAGGGAUCGGGAGGAACAUCAGUGGCGAAGGCGGCCAUCUGGGACAACACUGACGCUGAGGCGCGAAAGCGUGGGGAGCAAACAGGAUUAGAUACCCCUGUAGUCCCUGUCUCUUAUAC